rnacentral:misc_RNA from 1 species
CGCAUCUUGCGCUUCUUGGUAUUCCAAGGAGCAUGUCUGUUUGAGUGUCAUAAAUUUCUCAAUCAUAUUUAGCUUUGUUAGCUGGAUUUGACUUGGAUUGUGGUUGUUGCAGGUUUUGAUUCAAAGUCUGCUCUUCUGAAAAGCAUCAGCAUAAGUUUCUAAUCAACCUUAUCAUUGGCAUGAUAAUAAUAUUAUGUUGCCAUUGGUUUGAUGAGAAUUAUGCUCAAUGAAAGUCUGAUUUUGCAGACAGUCUUCUGACUCAUACAAAUUUGACCUCAAAUCAGAUAGGACUACCCGCUGAACUUAA